rnacentral:rRNA from 1 species
GACGAACCGUGCAAACGUUAUUCGGAAUCACUGGGCUUAAAGGGCGCGUAGGCGGGCAAUCAAGUCCGGGGUGAAAUCCUCCAGCUUAACUGGAGAAGUGCCUCGGAUACUGGUCGGCUCGAGGAGGGUAGGGGCAUCUGGAACUAGCGGUGGAGCGGUGAAAUGCGUUGAUAUCGCUAGGAACUCCGGUGGCGAAGGCGAGGUGCUGGACCCUUUCUGACGCUGAGGCGCGAAAGCCAGGGGAGCGAACGGG